AUUGAACGCUGGCGGCAUGCCUUACACAUGCAAGUCGAACGGCCACGCGGGCUUCUUCCUCCUGUCGCGUUGCCAACGGGCGAGUAAUUCAUCCGAACGUGCCCUGCCUUUGGGGAUAGCACGACUUCAGCCGGCUUAAUCCCGCACCCGAUCUUAUGUUGAACCCGGGGGUUCGAAAGUGCACGCCCUUUUUGCUGUCCCUUUGCCGUAUAAGCUAGUUGGUUGGGUAAAGGCUUACCAAGGCGACGAUCCGUAGCCGAUCUGAGAGGCCGACCAGCCACACUGGGACUGAGACACGGCCCAGACUCCUACGGGAGGCAGCAGUGGGGAAUUUUGGACAAUGGGGGCAAGCCUGAUCCAGCCACGCCGCGUGCGGGAAGAAGGCCUUCGGGUUGUAAACCGCUUUUGUUCGGGAAGAAAACCUGUGGGAUAAUACCCCGGGGGGAUGACGGUACCGGAAGAAAAAGCACCGGCUAACUACGUG
rnacentral:rRNA from 1 species